rnacentral:lncRNA from 1 species
UUUUGAUCUCUCAGAAAUAAAUAGCUUGGAGAUUAUUCAAACUUACAUCUUCAUCAAUCUUCUCAACUCGAAAGCUAGCGCUAAGGAGUUGAAAGCGAUUAUCUAUGACAUCUCUUGACUAUGUACAUAUAUAAUUUCAGUUUUUUUCAAUUUUUCCUUAGAUUGGACAAUGUUGUAUCUGAUUCUCUAAAAAAGUGUGCGCUGUUUGGAGCAAACUCUU